rnacentral:rRNA from 1 species
UUCGCAAUGCCCGAAAGGGUGACGAAGCGACGCCGCGUGUGGGAAGAAGGCCUUCGGGUUGUAAACCACUGUCGGGAGUUAAGAAAUGCAAGGAUAUGAAUAGUGUCUUUGCUUGACUAAGGCUCCGGAGGAAGCCACGGCUAACUCUGUGCCAGCAGCCGCGGUAAUACAGAGGCGGCAAGCGUUGUUCGGAAUUAUUGGGCGUAAAGAGCACGUAGGUGGCUAUGUAAGUCGGUUGUGAAAGCCUUCCGCUCAACGGGAGAACAGCAUCCGAUACUACAUGGCUUGAGUGCGGGAGGGGAGAGUGGAACUUCUGGUGGAGCGGUGAAAUGCGUAGAUAUCAGAAGGAACGCCGGCGGCGAAAGCGGCUCUCUGGCCCAUAACUGACGCUGAGUGUGCGAAAGCUAGGGGAGCAAACGGGAUUAGAUACCCCGGUAGUCCUAGCCGUAAACGAUGGGCACUAAGUAGAGGGGUUUU